CUGCAGAGUGUGAAAAUCUCAUCAGAUUAAGGAACACAAAGACAUCUUUUUCAUAUUUUGAAUGUAAAACUGUUUUGGAAACUGUUAUUUUUAGAAACAGUUAAAAACAUUGUUUCAUUAGUUUUUCAUGUAAAAUUGUAACAACCAGCAUGAAAUACCUGUCAUCACAGAAGCAUGGUAUAUUGGAUUCCGAAACAUAUUCUUUGUAAGUUUUAAUAUAUUUAUGUAUUAUUUAUACUUAAUUGUAACCCAUAAUGUACAGAUAUUAUUUUUCCUUCAACUCUUAAGAAUAUUCUUAAAUAAUAAAACUAAAAUUAAUGAAUUAUAAUUUUUGUUGGUUGGGAAAAAGACACACGUGACAGUGCAUCACUUCACCUCAUCACCUCAUCAUUUCAUCUCAUCAUUUCAUCUCAUCAUUUCAUCUCAUCAUUUUAUCUCAUCAUUUCAUCUUAUCCCAUCUCAUCUCAUCAUUUCAUAUCAUCUCAUCUCAUCAUUUCAUCAAAUCUCAUUUCAUGUCAUUUCCAUUUCAUUUUCAUUAUUUCAUUUCAUCAUUUCAUUUCACUAUUUCAUUUCAUUUCAUCUAAUUUCAUUUAUUUCAUUGUCAUUUCAUAUCAUCUCAUUUCAUGUCAUUUUUGAUAUCAUUUUUCAUAUCAUUUUUCAUCUCAUUUCAUCUCAAUUCAUCUCAUCAUUUCAUCUCAUCUCAUGAUUUCCUCCUUUCUUUUCAACAUUUCAUCUCAUUUCUUCUCAUCUCAUUUCAAUUUUAUUUCAUUAUUUCAUCUCAUUUCAUUAUUUCACCUAAUUUCAUUAUUUCAUCUCAUCUCAAUUCAUCUCAUCAUUUCAUCUCAUCAUUCAUCUCAUCAUUUCAUAUCAUCAUUUUAUCUCAUCUCAUCAUUUCAUCUCAUUUCAUCUCAUCUCAUUCCAUCAUUACAUCCCAUUUCAUCUCAUUUUAUGUCAUCAUUUCAUGUCAUCAUUUCAUCAAAUCUCAUCUCAUCAUUUCAUCUCAUUUCAUCAUUUCAUCUCAUUUCAACUCAUUGCAUCUCAUCUCAUCAUUUCCGUUUCAUUAUUCCAUUUCAUCAUUUCAUUCAUUAUGUCAUUUCAUCUCAUCAUAUUUCAUCUCAUCUCAUCAUUUCAUCUCAUUUUAUCUCAUCUCAUCAUUUCAUCAUUUCAUCUCAUUUCUUCUCAUCUCAUCAUUUCCAUUUCAUUUUCAUUUCAUUAUUUCAUUAUUUCAUCUCAUUUCAUUAUUUCAUUUCAUCUCAUUACAUUUCAUCUCAUUUCAUCUCAUCAUUUCAUCCAUCAUUUCAUCAUUUCAUCUCAUCUCAUCUCAUUAUCUCAUUUCAUCUCAUUAUUUCAUCUCAUUUCAUCUCAUUUCAUCAUUUCAUUUCAUCAUUACAUCUCAUUUCAACUCAUCUCAUUUCAAUUUCAUUUCAAUUUCAUCAUUACAUUUCAUAAUUUCCUUUCAUUAUUUCAUUUCAUUUCAUCUCAUUUCAUUAUUCCAUUUCAUCUCAUUUUUCAUCUCAUCAUUUUUCAUCUCAUUUCAUCAUUUCAUCUCAUCGUUCAUCUCAUUUCAUCUCAUCAUUUUAUCUCAUUAUUUCAUCCCAUAUCAUCUCAUUUCAAUUUCAUUAUUUCAUAUCAUUUCAUUAUUUCAUUUCAUCUCACCAUUUCAUCUCGUUUCAUCUCAUCAUUUCAUCCAUCAUCUCAUCAUUUCAUCUCAUUUUAUCUCAUCUCCUCUCCUUUCAAUUUCUUUUCAAUUUUGUCAUUUCGUCUCAUCAUUUCAUCUCAUCAUUUCUACUCACCAUUUCAUCUCAAAAUUUCAUCUCAUCAUCUCAUCUCAUCGCAUCAUUUCGUCAUUUCAUCUCAUCAUUUCAUCUCAAGUCAUCUUAUCAUUUCAUCUAAGUGAAAUGAUGUAAUGGAAUCAUGAAAUGAAAUGGAUAAGAUGCCUUCAGUGAUGUUAA
ensembl:lincRNA